rnacentral:rRNA from 1 species
ACCUGGUUGAUCCUGCCAGUAACAUAUGCUUGUCUCAAAGAUUAAGCCAUGCAUGUCUAAGUAUAAACAACUUUAUACUGUGAAACUGCGUACAGCUCAUUAAAUCAGUCAUUAUUUAUUUGAUGGUUUCUUACUUCACAUGGAUACCCGUAGUAAUUCUAGAGCUAAUACAUGCAAAAAAUCCCGACUCACGAAGGGAUGUAUUUAUUAGAUAAAAAACCAAUGCGCCCUCUGGGCGGUUGUGGUGAUUCAUAAUAACUGAUCGAAUCGCAUGGCCUCGUGCUGGCGAUAGUUCAUUCAAAUUUCUGCCCUAUCAGCUUUCGACGGUAGUGUAGUGGACUACCGUGGCAUUAACGGGUGACGGAGAAUUAGGGUUCGAUUCCGGAGAGGGAGCCUGAGAAACGGCUACCACAUCCAAGGAAGGCAGCAGGCGCGCAAAUUACCCAAUCCUGACACAGGGAGG